UUUCACCUGGAAUUUAUUUGCUCUAGUGAAAAGGUCUUAAUUUAAGCUUGUUUGAGAAUAGUAUUUGUUUUGGUCUCAGUUGAUUCCAGAUCUGUUUAUGUUGGAAAUCUUCCUUCAUCUAUCUCGACUUCAGACCUUGAGCAAGUCUUUAAAAAUUUUGGUAAAUUGAGACUAGAUGGUGUUUUUAUUAGAAGCCGGAAGGAGUCUGAUGUUUUUUAUGCUUUCAUUGAAUAUCAAGAUGCCAUUGGUGUACAAAAUGCACUUAAGGCAUCUCCAAUACAGUUAAAUGGGAGAUUGAUUCAUGUCGAGGGGAGAAGACCUAAUAACAGUGUAUCACGAGGAAGUA